ensembl:snoRNA
AGUGGCCCUUGUAAAAGCUGCAGCGGUUUCUACAUAGCUGCUGUGGUCAAAGAGGAGCCCAGAGUGACAAUUUUCCUUGAUAGUCGUCAUUCUGUUUCUUGUAAUUCAUCAACAUUUUGGGAAGAUACAGUU